GACGAACGCUGGCGGCGUGCUUAACACAUGCAAGUCGAACGCUGAAGCUUGGUGCUUGCACUGGGCGGAUGAGUGGCGAACGGGUGAGUAAUACGUGUGUAACCUGCCCUUGACUCUGGGAUAAGCCUGGGAAACUGGGUCUAAUACUGGAUACGACAUGUCACCGCAUGGUGGUGUGUGGAAUGGGUUUUACUGGUUUUGGAUGGGCUCACGGCCUAUCAGCUUGUUGGUGGGGUAAUGGCUCACCAAGGCGACGACGGGUAGCCGGCCUGAGAGGGUGACCGGCCACACUGGGACUGAGACACGGCCCAGACUCCUACGGGAGGCAGCAGUGGGGAAUAUUGCACAAUGGGCGGAAGCCUGAUGCAGCGACGCCGCGUGAGGGAUGACGGCCUUCGGGUUGUAAACCUCUUUCAGCACGGAAGAAGCGAAAGUGACGGUACGUGCAGAAGAAGCGCCGGCUAACUACGUG
rnacentral:rRNA from 1 species